AUAUCAGAAGAAUGGAAUCCAGGCAUCAGAAAGUGGGUGGUCAUCUAAGUGUGGACCAAGAUCAACAGGUCCAGACAGAGAGGGGGAACUGGCUCCAUAGAGAACGGACUGUGCCUGAGGACAGUGGACAGGCCAGGGGGAUGCAGAAGAUAAGCAAUAUCUUCAGGAAAAGAGACUUUUUCCCAAAAGUUCCAGAAAAAAAUCCAGAACUGGUGCUUGCUGGCCUGGCUUGGAUCAGGUGCCUAAUCUGUCCUGAUCACUGUGACUUCAACUGGCCAGUCAAAGGUCACCGGCUACCCUGGCGAGAUAUGGGCAGCACCCCCAAGCCACAUGGUCUGAGCAUGGAAUAUCUGGGUUGUAUGGCCAGCCAUGUGACUUUCCUGAAGACAGAACCAAACAGCCUGAUACAAAAAUGCUCAAAUGCUAAUAAAUCUCCAUGUUGGU